UCGAGUCUUCGGCUGUGCAGCGGAAAGUUUAGUGAACCUUAUCACUUAGAGGAAGGAGAAGUCGUAACAAGGUUUCCGUAGGUGAACCUGCGGAAGGAUCAUUC
rnacentral:rRNA from 1 species